ACGAACGCUGGCGGCAUGCCUAACACAUGCAAGUCGAACGAGACCUUCGGGUCUAGUGGCGCACGGGUGCGUAACGCGUGGGAACCUGCCCUUAGGUUCGGAAUAACUCCCCGAAAGGGGUUCUAAUACCGGAUAAUGUCUUCGGACCAAAGAUUUAUCGCCUUUGGAUGGGCCCGCGUUGGAUUAGCUAGUUGGUAGGGUAAAAGCCUACCAAGGCGACGAUCCAUAGCUGGUCUGAGAGGAUGAUCAGCCACACUGGGACUGAGACACGGCCCAGACUCCUACGGGAGGCAGCAGUGGGGAAUAUUGGACAAUGGGCGAAAGCCUGAUCCAGCAAUGCCGCGUGAGUGAUGAAGGCCUUAGGGUUGUAAAGCUCUUUUACCCGGGAUGAUAAUGACAGUACCGGGAGAAUAAGCUCCGGCUAACUCCGUG
rnacentral:rRNA from 1 species